AGCGAACGCUGGCGGCAGGCCUAACACAUGCAAGUCGAACGAACCUUUCGGGGUUAGUGGCGGACGGGUGAGUAACACGUGGGAACGUGCCUUUAGGUUCGGAAUAACUCAGGGAAACUUGUGCUAAUACCGAAUGUGCCCUUCGGGGGAAAGAUUUAUCGCCUUUAGAGCGGCCCGCGUCUGAUUAUCUAGUUGGUUGAGGUAAUGGCUCACCAAGGCGACGAUCAGUAGCUGGUCUGAGAGGAUGAUCAGCCACAUUGGGACUGAGACACGGCCCAAACUCCUACGGGGGGCAGCAGUGGGGAAUCUUGCGCAAGGGGCGAAAGCCUGACGCAGCCAUGCCGGGUGAAUGAUGAAGGUUUUAGGUUUGUAAAAUUCUUUCCCCGGGGACGAUAAUGACGGUACCCGGAAAAGAACCCCCGGCAACCUUGGG
rnacentral:rRNA from 1 species